UACGGGGGGGGCAAGCGUUGUUCGGAAUUACUGGGCGUAAAGGGCGCGUAGGCGGCUUUGUAAGUUAGAGGUGAAAGCCCGGAGCUCAACUCCGGAACUGCCUUUAAGACUGCAUCGCUUGAACGUCGGAGAGGUAAGUGGAAUUCCGAGUGUAGAGGUGAAAUUCGUAGAUAUUCGGAAGAACACCAGUGGCGAAGGCGACUUACUGGACGACUGUUGACGCUGAGGUGCGAAAGCGUGGGGAGCAAACAGG
rnacentral:rRNA from 1 species